rnacentral:rRNA from 1 species
UAAGGAAUAUUGGACAAUGGACGCAAGUCUGAUCCAGCCAUGCCGCGUGAAGGAUGAAUGCCCUCUGGGUUGUAAACUUCUUUUAUAGGGGAAGAAAGAUACUUUUUUUAAGGUAGUUGACGGUACCCUAUGAAUAAGCACCGGCUAACUCCGUGCCAGCAGCCGCGGUAAUACGGAGGGUGCAAGCGUUAUCCGGAUUUACUGGGUUUAAAGGGUGCGUAGGCGGGCAUGUAAGUCAGUGGUGAAAUACCGGAGCUUAACUUCGGAACUGCCAUUGAUACUAUAUGUCUUGAAUAUUGUGGAGGUAAGCGGAAUAUGUCAUGUAGCGGCGAAAUGCAUAGAUAUGACAUAGAACACCGAUUGCGGAGGCAGCUUGCUACGCAAAUAUUGACGCUGAGGCACGAAAGCGUGGAUCAAACA